rnacentral:tRNA from 2 species
UUAUAUUUUAGUGUAAGAUGCACAAUAGUUUUUGAUACUAUUAGAUAUAGUUUAAUUCUAUAAAAUAUAAU